CAACUACAUGGCGCUGAGCUGUAACUUAGAGGAUGUUUUCAAAGAAAUCAAACUGUCGGAACUGAGAGAUAAUGUGCAGUAUGUGACAGAAUCAGAAUUGGACCAAAAAGACACUAGAAGCACACAAGCACAAAAUGGCCACCACCACCAUCACCAUAAAGUGUGUGCUGUCUGUCUACACCAGCUUGCUUCUGGAAUGUAGAAGAGUUCAAGAACGAACCAUGUUGAAAAGCCAACUGGAGCUGGUCAUGGACCUUUGCCUGACCUGCCAUUCAUCCAGAGCCUGCCUCAGUGGUGGUAGGACCAACAGUUGACCACACACAUUGAGUCCAUGAUCUCAGUAGCAGCCAUGACAACAUCUACAGACUGACACCUGCAGUAGGCCUAUGGAUCCAUACAAUCUGCACCUCUCACCUUGAAGUCCUCAGCAUCAACAUUUCUGCUGUCAGUUUGAAACAUCUCAACUCAGAAGGAAGUGAAUGAAUCCCCAGGAUUGUUCCUCAGGAAAAUCUCUUCAACAGGCUGUUGACAGUUUGCAAGCUCUUUGGAUGGAAUUACCUUAGCUUGGGAUACAGAGAAUCUGUGAUAUGAAAGACCUCUUUUGGGCUGCUUUGUGUUAUUGAUUUAUUGACCUUAAAUGUAUUUAUGCCCCCUUUUGAAAAAAGUGGGGUAUAUUGUUUUGCACAUGUCGGUCGGUCGGUCGGUCUGUCUGUCUGUCGGUCGGUCGGUCGGUCGGUCGGAAUACCAAAUGGUUUCCGAUCAAUAACUUGAGAACGCUUUGACCGAGGGACCUCAUACUUGGUAUGUGUAUUGGUCAUCACCAGCAGAUGAACCCUAUUGAUUUUGAGGUCAGUGGGUCAAAGGUCAAGGUCAGUGUGACCUUUACAUGAAAAACGGUUUCCGAUCAAUAACUUGAGAACGCUUUGACCCAGGAACCUCAUACUUGGUAGGUGUAUUGGUCAUGACCAGCAGAUGAACCCUAUUGAUUUUGAGGUCAGUGGGUCAAAGGUCAAGGUCAGUGUGACCUUAACAUGAAAAACGGUUUCCGAUCAAUAACUUGAGAACGCUUUGACCCAGGGACCUCAUACUAGGUAGGCUUAUUGGUCAUGACCAGCAGAUGAACCCUAUUGAUUUUGAGGUCAGUGGGUCAAAGGUCAAGGUCAGUGUGACCUUUACAUGAAAAACGGUUUCCGAUCAAUAACUUGAGAACGCUUUGACCCAGGAACCUCAUACUUGGUAGGUGUAUUGGUCAUGACCAGCAGAUGAACCCUAUUGAUUUUGAGGUCAAAGGUCAAGGUCAGUGUGACCUUAACAUGAAAAACGGUUUCCGAUCAAUAACUUGAGAACGCUUUGACCCAGGGACCUCAUACUAGGUAGGCUUAUUGGUCAUGACCAGCAGAUGAACCCUAUUGAUUUUGAGGUCAGUGGGUCAAAGGUCAAGGUCAGUGUGACUGUAAGCUGAAAAAAGGUUUUCUGAUUGUCCAUAUUUUAUUUUCUUAUAUAGUAGACAGUAGAAAUUUAUAUGUCACUAAAUGCAUGAGUUGAAGUAUCAGUUUUCAGUGAACAUCUAGUUUAAUUAUGCCCCCCUUCGAAGCAGAGGGGUUAUAUAAUUGCUUUGCACAUGUCGGUCGGUCUGUUGGAAGACCAAAGCUUGUCCGAGUGAUAACUCAACAAUUCCCGGACCUAUGGUCAUCAAACUUGACAUGAAGAUUAGGUAUGACCAGUAGAUGACCUGCCUCAUAUGCAUCCAAUGACAAAUCAGCUGUCAUUUCAGUCCAUGCAUAUUUCAUUCAAUUGUCCAAAUAUUUCUGGCAACUUGGCGCUCAGGGGGCAUAAUGUUUGACAAACAUCUCUUGUUUAUAUUUAUUUUGCCACUAUUGUAAAAAAUGGGCAUAUACACUAGCAUAUAUAUGUUUGCAAACAGACACAUUUUAUUUUUUAAAUAACUUAAAAAUACAUUUUGUAGGUUAACCUUAGACCAUGAAACAUUAAUUCAAAGUUUCAAAGUUUAUUCAUACACUCAAUGCAAACAGAGUUUACAAACAUGAGGCUAUUAUAAGUGCAAAGUAUAACGAGGCUUUAUGCAGGCACAUAGUGAAUACAUAUAUGGAAACAAAGUGUACAAUGAGGUUAAAGUUGUCUGAAGGGAAUUAUACAUUGAGUUUCAAAUUACAAAUAGAACUACAAUUAUCAAUAAUCUGAGUCAAAAUUAUGUCAAGUUUAAUCAUUUUAAAACAGAAAAAUCAACAUUAUGCCAUUAAUGGUAGGAUAUCUUUGACCAGAACAUGACCAGUAUUGUAUUUUGAGUUUUUUGGUCAAAGGUGAAGGUCAUGGCAAACAGUGGUUAUUCUGCACAAUAACCCUGAAUUCUUAGACCUAAGACCAUUAAUAUUUAUACUCCAAUGCAUAAGUAACCGGGUCCUGCUGAAAUUCAGCUAGAGCUUAUUAAUUAGCAAGUUUUGCAAAUCAUUAUUUGUGUAUGUAACUAUAAAUACUGAUAGGCUUUGUGUUAAAAACUUGACCAUCACAAAUAAGGGUCAUUUUUGAUCUUACCUUGUUUCAGCCUUGGCAUUUUUUUAACUCUUUUUACAGCAAUCAGGAACAAAGUUUUGUGUUGUUGACUUUAAGAACAUACAUUACAGCUGCACUCUACAGUUUUUACAUUAUUUUACAUGUUUUGUCUCAGAAACAUCCUUCAAUUCAAAUAAUUUAAGAUUAAACAAUAGAACAGAUCUCAAUUGUGUGAAAAACUGCUGAAAAAAAUAAUUUUCUUAAAGCGUAAGUAACUCUUGUAGCCAUAAAACAUCGAUUUCCAAUUGGAAAUUAAAAAAACAACACAAUCUGAUCUUUUGUCAGCAGUCAUAUAUAUAAUUAUCACUGUUUCCAGACAUCUAGCACAAAAUACCUCAUUCCAAGACAAAAAAGAUGUCAAAUCGGUCUAUCCGGCUGUGAGAGAGCAGCUUUAAACAGAGACUAUAUGAUAUAUUAGGUUUCAGAGCCAAUGUUUUUGCAUAAUUAUAUAAUCAGUUUUCCAUUAACAUGAUAUUAAACCUGUUAAAUUUUUUCAAAGUUUCGUAAAACAUUUGAUGGAUUUAGAAAUAAAACUUAUUUGAAAGUUGAUUUUGUUAGGAAUAAUGUACUGAAAAUUUGGUACAAAUGUGUAGGACUGAUAUUAAUGUUCAAGGGGAUGGUGUUGUUGUGUCACUGGUUAAGGUUACAUCAAUCAUUCAGUAUUAUAAAAAAUGUUUGCAUAAUAACUUAGAGUUAUUAACAGAGUUAUUUGUUUGAGGACCUUGUAACUUUGUGCUAGUUUGCACUAAAACAGCAUACAACCACUAGCCGAUUCAGUGGGGGUACUUAUUAUGUCAAUAUCGAAAGGUAAUAAAAUAGGCUAAAUAUGCACCAUUUCAAUCGUGAUUUGUUUAAAAUUUCCCUGAACCCCACUGCAAACAUUUAAAGCUGUAUCAUUUUCGUCUCUGAGGGAUGGGCGUGUGUCAAAAGAUUGCGCCCUUAAUCAUCACCCUCCUGCAUCAAUUCCUGCUUGUUUUGAAACCAGUUGAUCAAAGUCACUGUUAAUGCUAUAAGUAAAACAUUCUUUUUGUUUUAUAUCUCAGACAGUUAAUACGUUUUUAGUAUAUUUGACUUGACCAGUCGAUUAUCCUUUAUGAUCAUUAGGUCAAAAGUAAAUAUUACAGUCAUUGCUGAUAUAUACCUUCUUUAAUCUAGCACAAUGUCUUUAAACAUCUUUUGUUUAAAUGAUUUAUUUGUUUAAUGAUAGCAUGUACUAUUGCAUUGUGCAUUAGUUGAUUGGAGUUUGUGUUCAAUGUGCGUAAAUUAGCACAAGUAUCUUUUUAACUAAAAUACCAUUAUGUACAGAUGUAUUCUCUUGCUUUUUAACCACAUUAUUUGCAAGAUAUUUGCAUAUACUGACAGGUAUUGGUCUUAAUUAGUUAAAUGAACAAUAAAAGGUUACAAUGCAGUCAUAUUUGACUAACUUUUAAAAUACCCAACUGUGUGAAAUUUUUGUUAGUUUGUUUCCAUUAACCUGGCUGAUCACUAUUAUUUCCACGGACCCUACACCUUUUGCUGUAGUGUGUAUUUGUUUUCUUAAUUUCCUAAAAAUGUGCUUUUUUGGUGAACAUGUUAAAUUUUGACCAUGUUAAGCUUGACUAUUGGAAGAAUAAGGAGGCUUUACUACUUGACCCAGUGUCGCUGUUGACGUCCGGUUCAAGGUUUGAGGCAAGUUGGCAUUUUCACUUAAAAUCCAAUAACCUUUACACAGUUGUUCAGGACCAUCACACAAUGCCAUGUUAUCUUUAAUACAAAAAUUAUGGCCUCUGACUUAGGAACUUACUUUAAAGUUUUAAGGCACAUUGUGUAAGGUUACAGUUUUAGGGCAAUUUGGGAUUUUUAUAAAUUACUUCUAUACAUUUCAUUCAAUUGUCUUAAUACUUCACACAAUUAUUGAAGACACUUACAAUUGGGUUAGAUAAGUCUAUAUUAUCCCUAAAUGAUUUUUUAUGCCCCCACAAAGUGGCGGCAUAUAGGGUUGCCCUUGUCCGUACGUACGUCUGUCCGUACGUACGUACGUACGUACGUCCGUACGUCCCGAAGAUUGUUUCCGAUCUAAUUCUUGAAAACCGUUUGUCCAAUCCUCACCAAACUUCAAACACAUGUUUGUGACCAUAAUAUCUUGAUCAAGUUCGAUAGUCAUGGAAAUCGCUUCAGUCAUUUAGGAGUUACGGCCCUUUUUUGCCAAAAAUUCCCGAAGAUUGUUUCCGAUCUAAUUCUUGAAAACCGUUUGUCCAAUCCUCACCAAACUUUAAACACAUGUUUGUGACCAUAAUAUCUUGAUCAAGUUCGAUAGUCAUGGAAAUCGCUUUAGUCAUUUAGGAGUUACGGCCCUUUUUUGCCAAAAAUACUUCAAAAAUAUAUGUUUCCAAUCUAAUUCUUGAAAAGUAUGUGUCCAAUCCUCACCAAACUUUACAUACAUGAUUGUGACCAUAAUAUCUUGAUCAAGUUCGAUAGCCAAGGAAAUCGCUUUUGUCAUUUAGGAGUUACGGCCCUUUAUUUGCAAAAAAAGACUUGAAAAAUACGUCCCGAAGAUUGUUUCCGAUCUAAUUCUUGAAAACUGUUUGUCCAAUCCUCACCAAACUUUUAACACAUGUUUGUGACCAUAAUAUCUUGAUCAAGUUCGAUAGCCAUGGAAAUCACCUUAAUCAUUUAGGAGUUAGGGCCCUCAGAUUAUCCUGAAUAAUCAUUAUGGCUUAUUUUCUGUGACAAAAAAUCGAAGUGGGGGCAUCCGUGUCCUAUGGACACAUUUCUAGUUUUUCCUUGAUUGACUUUUGUACGUUUUUAUUAUGCCCCCUUUUGAAAAAAGUGGGGUAUAUUGUUUUGCACAUGUCGGUCGGUCGGUCGGUCUGUCUGUCGGUCGGUCGGAAUACCAAAUGGUUUCCGAUCAAUAACUUGAGAACGCUUUGACCGAGGGACCUCAUACUUGGUAUGUGUAUUGGUCAUCACCAGCAGAUGAACCCUAUUGAUUUUGAGGUCAGUGGGUCAAAGGUCAAGGUCAGUGUGACCUUUACAUGAAAAACUGUUUCCGAUCAAUAACUUGAGAACGCUUUGACCCAGGAACCUCAUACUUGGUAGGUGUAUUGGUCAUGACCAGCAGAUGAACCCUAUUGAUUUUGAGGUCAGUGGGUCAAAGGUCAAGGUCAGUGUGACCUUAACAUGAAAAACGGUUUCCGAUCAAUAACUUGAGAACGCUUUGACCCAGGGACCUCAUACUAGGUAGGCUUAUUGGUCAUGACCAGCAGAUGAACCCUAUUGAUUUUGAGGUCAGUGGGUCAAAGGUCAAGGUCAGUGUGACCUUAACAUGAAAAACGGUUUCCGAUCAAUAACUUGAGAACGCUUUGACCCAGGAACCUCAUACUUGGUAGGUGUAUUGGUCAUGACCAGCAGAUGAACCCUAUUGAUUUUGAGGUCAGUGGGUCAAAGGUCAAGGUCAGUGUGACUGUAAGCUGAAAAAAGGUUUUCUGAUUGUCCAUAUUUUAUUUUCUUAUAUAGUAGACAGUAGAAAUUUAUAUGUCACUAAAUGCAUGAGUUGAAGUAUCAGUUUUCAGUGAACAUCUAGUUUAAUUAUGCCCCCCUUCGAAGCAGAGGGGUUAUAUAAUUGCUUUGCACAUGUCGGUCGGUCUGUUGGAAGACCAAAGCUUGUCCGAGUGAUAACUCAACAAUUCCCGGACCUAUGGUCAUCAAACUUGACAUGAAGAUUAGGUAUGACCAGUAGAUGACCUGCCUCAUAUGCAUCCAAUGACAAAUCAGCUGUCAUUUCAGUCCAUGCAUAUUUCAUUCAAUUGUCCAAAUAUUUCUGGCAACUUGGCGCUCAGGGGGCAUAAUGUUUGACAAACAUCUCUUGUUCCUUUUGAUAGGCACAUUUUAUAUUUGUAACCAGGUUUUCACUGUGAAGUGAAACCUGGUUAUAACAAUGAUAUUGUUUUGUGGGCUGGUCAGCAGAAGGGCAGCAUCAAAUACAUCUAUGGUACCUUAUAAUUUUAGUUAAGUUUGACAGAGAGUGACCAAAUUUGGUAUAUUGGUAGAGUUUAUUGAGAUUUUACAUGGGAUUACAUUUGCGACUCCUAGGAUCAAGGUCAAGGUCACUGUUAAUAUAAAUAGAAAAAUGGUUAGUACCGAAUAACUAUUUAACGUUGACAUAUUGUGACCAAACUUAGUAUAUAGGAAGAGCUUAUAGAGACCUCUCGUGGGAUUGCAUUUGGGGCCCAUAGGAUCAAGGUCACCAUUACAAAAACAAAAAAAAACUAUUGAAACCUAAUCACUCAACAAAGGGUUAAUUAAUUAUGUUUGUCUGUCAAUCAUUGAAAACCUGUUUUUGUUGCAUUGCAGUAUUUCUUGCUUACUUUUAAUUUUGACUAUUUUAUAUUGCAUUUGACAGCCACAUAUUACAUCAUUAUUGUAUUAAUUUCUAAGACAAAGCGGCAUAUAGUUGAGGGCACUGUCCUUUGACAGCUCUUGUUUAUCUUAAAAAAAUACAAUGGUGAUAUACCCUGGUAUAGGAAGUUUGGGUACAGAAUCCCGUUCUAAAAAUAAAAUAGAAAAAAGCAUAUUGACCUACCCUAUUUAUUUUGGAGAAGUUAGUUGAAACAAAAACUUUUUUGACCAUUUAUAUUAAAUAUUGUAUCCCUAAGAUUUUUGCUUAAAGCUCCAUGUAUCCAAUAAGGUAACUGUUGUUCUCAAAUGUAAUAGCUUUCGCCUAUAAACUUUCAAUAGUUCAUUGGAACCAGUAGGUUCAUCAAGAUGCAUCUCUGUUCAUGUAGCCCAGUCCAGAACAUUUAUCACACUGCUGUGUCAGCACUUUUUUGAAUGGAUUUUUUUAUUUUCAUAUAUAUAUUAUGAUUUCAA